UACGUAGGGAGCAAGCGUUGUCCGGAUUCACUGGGUGUAAAGGGUGCGUAGGCGGCGCGGUAAGUCGGGUGUGAAAUCUCGGAGCUUAACUCCGAAACUGCAUUCGAUACUGCCGUGCUUGAGGACUGGAGAGGAGACUGGAAUUUACGGUGUAGCGGUGAAAUGCGUAGAUAUCGUAAGGAAGACCAGUGGCGAAGGCGGGUCUCUGGACAGUUCCUGACGCUGAGGCACGAAGGUCAGGGGAGCAAACGGG
rnacentral:rRNA from 1 species